UACGGGGGGGGCAAGCGUUGUUCGGAAUUACUGGGCGUAAAGGGCUCGUAGGUGGCCAACUAAGUCGGACGUGAAAUCCCUCAGCUUAACUGGGGAACUGCGUCCGAUACUGGAUGGCUUGAGUUUGGGAGAGGGAUGCGGAAUUCCAGGUGUAGCGGUGAAAUGCGUAGAUAUUGGGAGGAACACCAGUGGCGAAGGCGGCUCACUGGACUGGUACUGACGCUGAGGCGCGAAAGCGUGGGGAGCAAACGGG
rnacentral:rRNA from 1 species